rnacentral:misc_RNA from 1 species
UUUCCGUAGGUGAACCUGCGGAAGGAUCAUUAAAGUUAUAGUCCCCCGGCCCUCUGGGCUGGGGUCUUCUAUACCACCCUUUGUUUAUUACACCUUUGUUGCUUUGGCAGGCCUGCCCUCGGGCUGCUGGCUCCGGCCGGCUCGCGUCUGCCAGAGGACCUAAACUCUGUUUGUAUAUGAAGUCUGAGUACUAUAUGAUGGUUAAAACUUUCAACAACGGAUCUCUUGGUUCUG